rnacentral:rRNA from 1 species
AGAGUUUGAUCCUGGCUCAGAUCGAACGCUGGCGGCAUGCUUUACACAUGCAAGUCGAACGGCAGCACGGGUGCUUGCACCUGGUGGCGAGUGGCGAACGGGUGAGUAAUGCACCGGAACGUACCCAGUAAUGGGGGAUAACACAUCGAAAGAUGUGCUAAUACCGCAUACGCCCUGAGGGGGAAAGCGGGGGAUCGUAAGACCUCGCGUUAUUGGAGCGGCCGAUGCCGGAUUAGCUAGUUGGUGAGGUAAGAGCUCACCAAGGCGACGAUCCGUAGCUGGUCUGAGAGGACGACCAGCCACACUGGGACUGAGACACGGCCCAGACUCCUACGGGAGGCAGCAGUGGGGAAAUUUGGACAAUGGGCGCAAGCCUGAUCCAGCCAUGCCGCGUGAGUGAAGAAGGCCUUCGGGUUGUAAAGCUCUUUCGCAAGGAAAGAAAACUUAUCUACUAA